AGAGUUUGAUCCUGGCUCAGGAUGAACGCUAGCGGCAGGCUUAAUACAUGCAAGUCGUGGGGCAGCACAGGUAGCAAUACUGGGUGGCGACCGGCAAACGGGUGCGGAACACGUACGCAACCUUCCUUUAAGCGGGGGAUAGCCCAGGGAAACUUGGAUUAAUACCCCAUAGUAAGAUGGAGUGGCAUCACUCUAUUUUU
rnacentral:rRNA from 1 species